AUGAACGCUGGCGGCGUGCCUAAUACAUGCAAGUCGAGCGAACGGACGAGAAGCUUGCUUUUCUGAUGUUAGCGGCGGACGGGUCAGUAACACGUGGAUAACCUACCUAUAAGACUGGGAUAACUUCGGGAAACCGGAGCUAAUACCGGAUAAUAUUUUGAACCGCAUGGUUCAAAAGUGAAAUACGGUCUUGCUGUCACUUAUAGAUGGAUCCGCGCUGCAUUAGCUAGUUGGUAAGGUAACGGCUUACCAAGGCAACGAUGCAUAGCCGACCUGAGAGGAUGAUCGGCCACACUGGAACUGAGACACGGUCCAGACUCCUACGGGAGGCAGCAGUAGGGAAUCUUGGGCAAUGGGCGAAAGCCUGACGGAGCAACGCCGCGUGAGUGAUGAAGGUCUUCGGAUCGUAAAACUCUGUUAUUAGGGAAGAACAUAUGUGUAAGAAAAUGUGCACAUCUUGACGGUACCUAAUCAGAAAGCAACGGCUAACUACGUG
rnacentral:rRNA from 1 species